GAUGAAGAACGUAGCGAAAUGCGAUAAGUAGUGUGAAUUGCAGAAUUCAGUGAAUCAUCGAAUCUUUGAACGCACAUUGCGCCCGCUGGUAUUCCGGCGGGCAUGCCUGUUCGAGCGUCAUUUCAACCCUCAAGCUCUCCGGAGUUUGGUGUUGGGGCGCCUGGGGCUUUUCGACCUCAGGGCCCUCAAGUCCAUCGGCGGGACCGCCAGGACACUGAGCGCAGUAGUAUUAUUUCGCUCGGUAGGAUCUUCCACGGCGGGUCGAUCUGGCCGCUAAACCCCCCAAUUCUCACCAAAGGUUGACCUCGGAUCAGGUAGGAAUACCCGCUGAACUUAAGCAUAUCAAUAAGCGGAGGA
rnacentral:misc_RNA from 1 species